rnacentral:lncRNA from 1 species
UUAAUAUAACGUGAAUAUAAUUAUUUUUAUCUGAAAUAAAAUUUGAAAUUUUAAAAUCUACACGUUGAAGAUAAAUUUUAUCAUCUUAUCUCGCUCCCUCAUCCUUAUAGCCGACCUCUCAUCUUCAUUCUCCCCAUCGUACUCUCCCCACUCUCCCCAUCUGCAACAACAAUAUAACCAAUCCAUUCCUCUACCUUUCCAAUUGUCUGAUAAACUCCUAUUAACUCAUCUAAUACCCUCCUAGUAUUAGCUAUGCAUCCUGUCAUAGCUUCGUUCAGUUUCGUCAACUCUGCGAUCGCAUUCGAAUCCAUUGUAGCUGUUUGUUCUUCGUCAACCCAUUUGAUGUAGCGACAGUCAACGCUUACAUCGUUCCUAAAGGACAAUGAUAGAACGCUCUUCCUCUAUUUUUCUCGGUUCCAGUAACCUUCACGGCAACAUCACGCUGGUAUGAACACUUCUGACCACCGAUGUUGCUUCCAGUGUGCACUACACUUCUAUUUGAUGUAGUUGAGUGACCAUAACUUCUAUGCGUUUCAGACGACGACAUAGAUCUCAGGGAUCUAAAACUAGAAUGACAAAGGAAGAGAAUGAAAUAAGAGAUUUAUAUUUGAUCGUAACUAUGAGAACGAUGAAAUAUGAUAUUCAGAUCAACAAUAGCACCGAAACUAGGGGAGGAUAACCACAAGAACACUCGACGGAAUCGAUGGCGUUACUUGUCGAAGAUGACCGGCCGGCCCAACUGGAAAAAAGGAAGAGCAAUACAAGUUUAUUUAGAAGAAUGAAAUUAGGGUUCAUGAAUGGACGAUUGAGAUGAAACAGGGAAGAGGGGUUAAUCGAAUUGGCGUUUCCAAUGAAAAAAAGGAAAAAGGAAAAUUUCAUGUAUCUGCGCAUUUAUGCGUUUUGGGUGAUGUUGCUGAUGCCGUAACAACAUGUGAGCUACUUAAUGGCCGAAAUCUAAAUAUUCGUCUAAAUUUUUAAUAGAUGGUGACAUAAAACUUAGAUAAAAAAGAUUAUGUAUAUAUUGGUAAUAAAAUAAUAGUUUGUGACAUAUAAAAUUUUUUGUCUAAUAUUUAUCUUGAUGAGUGUGUUGUAAAAAGAUUAUUUUUUAUCAACGUAUUGCAAGAAGAUUAUGGUGAGAGGGAAUUUGAUAGCAUGGUAAAAUUGUGUAUUGUUGAUUCGCAUGUAUUAAUUGAAUUCAAUUACACUUUAUAUUAAUAUAGAUAGAUUGAUUUAAUAUAUAUGAUUGAAGUAUGUCAACACUAGAAUUCUAUAUUUCUAAACCUUUAAAGUUUGUUAUAAUAAAUCUUAAAUUAUAGGUGAUUUGUAAAGAAGCUUUAUUAUUAAUCCUAAUGAGUAUGUUUUAACAAGAUUAUUGUUGGACAUGAACAUGAAAUUUUUUAUUGCGAGUGCAAUCCUUAAUAACCUAUUACUAAUCUUUGACUCGUAGACAAGCAAGACUCGCAGCCUCAUGUAUGGUUCUGGGCACCAGGUAUUAUUCUUUUCAUUCUGCUGAAAGUUACUAACUAUUUCGCCGAGAAGUACCAAAAAGGCAAAUCAUGGACUUGGAUCCAGAAAGCCACUGACUUGAGAGAGGUGCUUGUGGGGCAGCUCCCCACGACCAUCGUCGAUGACCUGACGGCGUCAAAGAUGUGGUUGAAACGGCGCAGAAAGAGACGUCCCGCCAACGAGUUGAUCUCCACCCCACGUCCUGGC